GGAUAUAGCUCAGUUGGUAGAGUUCUUGCCUGCAUGCAGGAUGCUUGGGUUCAAUCCCUAGCACCA
rnacentral:tRNA from 1 species